rnacentral:lncRNA from 1 species
GUUGGUUUAAUCUAUUCAUAUCUUUAUUUAUGUUUACAUCGCUUAUAUGGUCAUCUGAGGUCAAAUCGAUAGUUAUUUAGAUGGCGUCUGGACUAAAAUACACACGAAACGAACCUAUAUAUUAUCUACCCCCAGCUCUGUAAACUGUUUAUUUUAGACUUUUGAUAGUUUGGAUAAAUGUUUUACAUUGUUAUAAAUCAAAUAUGAGAAUUUGAGUCAAAUCGGUGACCAUGAAUUUGGCAGCUAGUGCCCCUUUAA